UACGUAGGGUGCGAGCGUUAAUCGGAAUUACUGGGCGUAAAGGGGGCGCAGGCGGUUAUAUAAGACAGAUGGGAAAUCCCCGGGCUCAACCUGGGAACUGCGUUUGUGACUGUAUGACUAGAGUACGGUAGAGAGGGGUGGAAUUCCUGGUGUAGCAGUGAAAUGCGUAGAUAUCAGGAGGAACACCGGUGGCGAAGGCGGUUCUCUGGGCCUUACCUGACGCUGAGGAGCGAAAGCGUGGGGAGCGAACAGG
rnacentral:rRNA from 1 species